GAUGAACGCUGGCGGCGUGCCUAAUACAUGCAAGUCGAGCGAACGGACGAGAAGCUUGCUUCUCUGAUGUUAGCGGCGGACGGGUGAGUAACACGUGGAUAACCUACCUAUAAGACUGGGAUAACUUCGGGAAACCGGAGCUAAUACCGGAUGAUCUUUUGAACCGCAUGGUUCAAAAGUGAAAGACGGUCUUGCUGUCACUUAUAGAUGGAUCCGCGCUGCAUUAGCUAGUUGGUAAGGUAACGGCUUACCAAGGCAACGAUGCAUAGCCGACCUGAGAGGGUGAUCGGCCACACUGGAACUGAGACACGGUCCAGACUCCUACGGGAGGCAGCAGUAGGGAAUCUUCCGCAAAGGGCGAAAGCCUGACGGAGCAACGCCGCGUGAGUGAUGAAGGUCUUCGGAUCGUAAAACUCUGUUAUUAGGGAAGAACAUAUGUGUAAGUAACUGUGCACAUCUUGACGGUACCUAAUCAGAAAGCCACGGCUAACUACGUG
rnacentral:rRNA from 1 species